rnacentral:ncRNA from 1 species
UUAAAGAUUUAUUUUAUAUUUUUUUUACAUGUAAAUUUUUGUAUGGAUAUUAAUUGAAUUUUAAUAGUUUAAUUAAAUUGUUUUAUUCGCAGUAUUUAAUUUUAAUAAUUUAAGAAAUUAAGAAUUAGAAAUAAAUUUUAAUAUUAACAAAUUUUGUGCCAGCAGUUGCGGUUAUACAAAAAAUAUAAAUAAAUUUUAUUAGUAAAUAGAUAUAUGGAUUAUUAAUUGAUAAAUUAAAAUUUUAUUUAUUAGGUGAAAUUUUAAAUAAAAAAUUAAUUUAUAAGAAAGUUUUUAAUAUUAUGAAAUUUAUAUUUAAACUAGGAUUAGAUACCCUAUUAUUUUAAAUGUAAAAUAAAUUAUUAAAGUAGUAUUAGUUAUGUUCUUGAAAUUUAAAGAUUUUGGCGGUAUUUUAGUCUAUUUAGAGGAACCUGUUCUAUAAUUGAUAAUCCACGAUUAACUUUACUUAUUUUAUAAAUUUGUAUACCGUCGUUAUUAGAAAAUUUUAAUAGAAAAUAAAUUUUUAAUAUUUUAUAUUAAUAAAUAUAUCAGAUCAAGGUGCAGUAUAUAUUUAAGAAGAAAUGGGUUACAAUAAAAAUAUUUAUAUGAAUUAAAAUAGGAAUCUAUUUUAUAAAAGUGGAUUUAAUAGUAAUAAAAUUCAUUUAAAUUUUAUGAUUUUGGCUCUAAAAUAUGUACAUAUCGCCCGUCGCUCUUAUUAUAAGAUAAGAUAAGUCGUAACAUAGUAGAUGUACUGGAAAGUGUAUCUAGAAUGCC